rnacentral:rRNA from 1 species
AUGGGCGCAAGCCUGAUGCAGCCAUGCCGCGUGUGUGAAGAAGGCCUUCGGGUUGUAAAGCACUUUCAGUCGUGAGGAAGGUGGUGUUGUUAAUAGCUCUAUCAUUUGACGUUAGCGACAGAAGAAGCACCGGCUAACUCCGUGCCAGCAGCCGCGGUAAUACGGAGGGUGCGAGCGUUAAUCGGAAUUACUGGGCGUAAAGCGCAUGCAGGUGGUUUGUUAAGUCAGAUGUGAAAGCCCGGGGCUCAACCUCGGAAUAGCAUUUGAAACUGGCAGACUAGAGUACUGUAGAGGGGGGUAGAAUUUCAGGUGUAGCGGUGAAAUGCGUAGAGAUCUGAAGGAAUACCGGUGGCGAAGGCGGCCCCCUGGACAGAUACUGACACUCAGAUGCGAAAGCGUGGGGAGCAAACAGGAUUAGAUACCCUGGUAGUCCACGCCGUAAACGAUGUCUACUUGGAGGUUGUGGCCUUGAGCCGUGGCUUUCGGAGCUAACGCGUUAAGUAGACCGCCUGGG